rnacentral:rRNA from 1 species
UACGGGGGGAGCAAGCGUUGUUCGGAUUUACUGGGCGUAAAGGGCGUGUAGGCGGCCACCGCAAGUCGACUGUGAAAUCUCCGGGCUUAACCCGGAAAGGUCAGCCGAUACUGCGGGGCUAGAGUGCAGAAGGGGCAACUGGAAUUCUCGGUGUAGCGGUGAAAUGCGUAGAUAUCGAGAGGAACACCUGCGGCGAAGGCGGGUUGCUGGGCUGACACUGACGCUGAUGCGCGAAAGCUAGGGAGCGAACGGG